ensembl:Mt_tRNA
GUUUUUGUAGUUGAAUAACAACGGUGAUUUCAGGGGUCAUUGGUUCUGGUUAGAGUCCAGAUAAAAAUA